rnacentral:rRNA from 1 species
GACGAACGCUGGCGGUGUGCUUAACACAUGCAAGUCGAACGGUAAGGCCCUUUCGGGGGUACACGAGUGGCGAACGGGUGAGUAACACGUGAGUAACCUGCCCUCAUCUCUGGGAUAACAGUCGGAAACGGUUGCUAAUACUGGAUAUGAGCUUGCAAGGCAUCUUGUGGGUUGGAAAGAUUUUUUUGGUUGGGGAUGGGCUCGCGGCCUAUCAGCUUGUUGGUGAGGUAGUGGCUCACCAAGGCUUCGACGGGUAGCCGGCCUGAGAGGGCGACCGGCCACAUUGGGACUGAGAUACGGCCCAAACUCCUACGGGAGGCAGCAGUGGGGAAUAUUGCACAAUGGACGGAAGUCUGAUGCAGCAACGCCGCGUGCGGGAUGACGGCCUUCGGGUUGUAAACCGCUUUCAAUUGUGACGAAGCUUUUUGUGACGGUAGCAGUAGAAGAAGCACCGGCUAACUACGUG